rnacentral:rRNA from 1 species
AUUGAACGCUGGCGGCAGGCCUAACACAUGCAAGUCGAGCGGAUGAAGGGAGCUUGCUCCUGGAUUCAGCGGCGGACGGGUGAGUAAUGCCUAGGAAUCUGCCUGGUAGUGGGGGAUAACGUCCAGAAACGGGCGCUAAUACCGCAUACGUCCUGAGGGAGAAAGUGGGGGAUCUUCGGACCUCACGCUAUCAGAUGAGCCUAGGUCGGAUUAGCUAGUUGGUGGGGUAAAGGCCUACCAAGGCGACGAUCCGUAACUGGUCUGAGAGGAUGAUCAGUCACACUGGAACUGAGACACGGUCCAGACUCCUACGGGAGGCAGCAGCGGGGAAUAUUGGACAAUGGGCGAAAGCCUGAUCCAGCCAUGCCGCGUGUGUGAAGAAGGUCUUCGGAUUGUAAAGCACUUUAAGUUGGGAGGAAGGGCAGUAAGUUAAUACCUUGCUGUUUUGACGUUACCAACAGAAUAAGCACCGGCUAACUCCGUG